GUACUCAUUUUGGCAGCACAUACUAAAAUUGGAACUAUACAGAGAAGAUCAGAAUGGCCCAUGCACAAGGAUGACAUGCAAGUUCAUGAAGCAUGCCAUAUUUUU